AUUUUAAAGGGCCGCGGUAUUUCUGACUGUGCAAAGGUAGCAUAAUCGUUAGUUUCUUAAUUGGAAUCUUGUAUGAAUGGUUUGACAAGAAAAAAUCUGUCUUUAUAAAAUAUUAAUUGAAUUUAACUUUUAAGUGAAAAGGCUUAAAUAUGUUAAAAAGACGAUAAGACCCUAUAAAACUUAAUAUAAAUUAUUUGUUUAGAUAAAAUUUUUUAAUAUAAAUAUUUGAUAAUUGAUUUUUAUUUUAUUGGGGUGAUAAUGGUAAAAUGAUUAUUAACUGUUAAUUGUUAUAUAACAAAAAUUGUUGAAUAAUUAUUUAAUAAAUGAUCCUUGUUAAAGAUUAAAAGUUUAAGUUACUUUAGGGAUAACAGCGUUAUUUUUUUUGAGAGUUCUUAUCGAGAAAAAAGUUUGCGACCUCGAUGUUGAAUUAAAAUAUCUAUAUAAU
rnacentral:rRNA from 1 species